rnacentral:tRNA from 1 species
CCGUAGUGCAAAGCUUAGCAUGUCCACCUAUGAAGUGGAACGCCUGGGUCCGAAUCCUGGCGG